GACGUAGGGCGCGAGCGUUGUCCGGAUUUAUUGGGCGUAAAGAGCUCGUAGGCGGCUUGUCGCGUCGACUGUGAAAUCCCGCGGCUCAACUGCGGGUCUGCAGUCGAUACGGGCAGGCUAGAGUUCGGUAGGGGAGACUGGAAUUCCUGGUGUAGCGGUGAAAUGCGCAGAUAUCAGGAGGAACACCCGGUGGCGAAGGCGGCAUCCUGGA
rnacentral:rRNA from 1 species